rnacentral:ncRNA from 2 species
GGGAAGCCGGUGAGAACCCGGCGCUGACCCGCAACCGUGAGUACGGGCUGUGUACCGCAGAGCGUACGAGCCGGAGCACC